CAGAAGUCUUGCUCAAUGCUCCUGGCUGAAUAAACCAUUUCCUUCUUUAACUCAGUGUCUGAGGAGUUUUGUCUGCGGCUCGUCCUGCUACAUUUCUUGGUUCCCUGACCGGGAAGCGAGGUGAUUGGCAGAUGGUCGAGGCAGCUCCUUAGGCGGCUAAAGCCUGCCCUGUGGAACAUCCCUGCAGGGGACUCUGACCAGCCUGAGCGACGUGGAUCCUGAGAGCGCUUCUGGGUAGGCAUUUGCCCCAGUGGGAUGCCUCACCAGAGCAGUGUGUGGAAGGCCCCCAUGGAGUCUCAACACGGUGGCUGAACACCGGGAAGGAACUGGUAUUUGGAGUCCGGACAUCUGAAACUUGAGAAAGACACUGAAGGAAUUAAAUCAGCUUGUCCAGCAGCAAGCUUCAGAGCCAAAUAUAAGCACACCUCAUAAUUCAGAGACCUCGUGAUGGGUCCUCAGAAGACACACCCAGCAGCUGCCAAAUGAACAGCAGAUGACGGAAAGGGGCCCUUGGCCUGAUCUCUCAUGGGAGACAGUGACCUUUCCUGAGUUGAAGAUGGUGAAAUGCCAGAAGGAGCUGAUGAGGCUGUCCCACACACUGACACUGCUAUGAUAUCAUGAUUGAAUUUCACUUUUUUCUCCCACCAUAAUGUAAUUUCUGGGCAGUGAUUGGGGUGUUGAUUCAUAAACACCCCUUACUGUUCUGCAUUGGAUUAAUCAUGAUGUACUGUCUUUUUCUCACUAUUUACAAAGUACAGCACCAUGAGAAUCCCUGAAUUUUAGAAUAAGUUUCUCUCCACUGGAAUAUAACACAUAUUUUGGGUUCUUUGCCUGGACUGGUCAUUUCUUUCUUUUACUAAUUGUUGUGAAAGAAUGACAGAGAUGUACAACAUGGUUUUUGAAUGGAUGCUGAGUUUAACUCUCCCGCUUACCAGAGAUAAAGUUGGCCAUACACACACGUCUCUUAUAUAAGAGUUUAUUCAUUGGCAGACACUUUGAUGAUGACAUUGAGUUAGAUGAAAUACUGGUUCCAGUUUGUAGCACUUUAUGAAUUUUCAUGUAAAGUGAUCAUUCAAUUUAAGGUUUCUGCACACAUCUUACAAAGCAUAUCUGUUUAUCAGAGCUCAUUUACUUAAGAGGAUUAAAAUGAAAUCUCUCCUCAUGAGCCAAGGGUGAAAUAGCUAGUGUCCGCUCCUAAAUAUGUGAACUAAUAUGUUUUUCCAUGGGCAAGCAAGAUUUUGUUUUUCUCCUAUUUUUCUUCUUCAGAAGGAAAUGAUUAAAAUAUUAAUAACACAAAAAUAAAUAUACAUUAUAAAACUCAAAAAAAUAAGGAUUUUUAUUGGAGUAAAGUUUUUAGUGGAGUAAAUUAUACAAUAUUAAAAAAGCAAUGGAAUUUAAAAGCAUGCCAUUUUUAAGUUUCCCUUUAUUAAUACAUUAGCAUACACAAAAUCUCAAUUAAAAAUUGCUUUAAAAGAUACUAAGUGCCAUUCAACUCUUAUUCUUUUAUCAUCUUCAAAAUAGCUGUUUAAAUCUAUAUUUAUACAAAAUAGCUGUUUAAAAAAUAUCUUUUUUUAAUUUUUUUCAUUUUUUU
rnacentral:lncRNA from 1 species